AAGAAGAGACCCUGAAGAGUUGGUACUAAAACCUGCCAUUUUUAUGUACAAGGGAGAUCACAUCAACAGUAACUGACCCACUUGCCUUUUCGGGUUUGAACGUUCAGUUUUUUGUUUAACUGGUUCUGUUUUGUAUUCAGAUUAAUAUUGAUGAUGUCAAUAUUGUGAUGCAUAAAAUUUCUCUGUUUUUGGAUCAAGAGGUUUCAUGUUUUCUUUUCAGGGCUUGAAUAUGCAAAAUCAUUUUGCUUAUAUUUUACUUAUACUAGUUCAUAUCUCUAAUUAGAUUCAUGUUGAUGUUGGCAUUGGGGUGUGGAAAUUUGAUAGUUUUUGAAUGAUUUUUUUAUAUUUCAAAGUUGGAAGUUAUGUUUGCAUUUUCUGCUAAAAACAGUUAUUGGUUUUGUGUAAAUUUGAAGGUUUGUUAUGAUGUAGGUAUGGAAGGAAGUUUAUAAUGUGGAUGCAUUCUUGGUACUUUAUUUUCGGGUAUUUCAUUUUACUGCCUUUGGAUAAUUUUCUACUUUUGUUUUUAUCUUUGGUUUUCUUUAAAACUAUAUCUUUC
rnacentral:lncRNA from 1 species